rnacentral:lncRNA from 1 species
GACGAUUCCCUCCACAUCCAAUUGGAUCCUGGACUCUUGUGCAUCCCAUCACAUAACCUCUGAUCUUGCCAACAUGUCUCUUCACUGUCCUUACACUGGUUUCGAGAAUGUGGUUAUUGGUAACGGUGAAGGUUUGACAAUUACACACACCGGACAGGUAACAGUCAUUCCUCUCUUUUAUUACCUGGGGCUCUCUGUGUUCCAUAUAUGCGUAAAAAUUUGAUCUAUGUUGCCCAAUUAUGUCGUCAUAAUAAUGUUAAUGUUAUUCUUUCUGAUACGGAUUUUCAGGUGAAGGAUCGUCGCACGUGGGCAACGCUCGUUCGCGCCCGCUUAGGGGCAACACCUACUACUGGCCGGAGGCUCCAAGUCUCUCGUCCGCCCUCACGGCACAAAAGCUGUCUGCGUCAUUGUGGCAUUCUCGGUUGGGUCACACGUCCGCUAAAAUCCUGCGUCAUUUAGUGUCUUCUAGCAGUAUAGUGUCCAGUAAUGUGUCUGAUCUUGCUUGUGUCUCUUGCAAGCUUCAUAAGUGUCAUAAGCUACCUUUUUCUGAGUCAAGUUUAUCUUCUACUGCUCCGCUGGAGCUUAUUUUUCUGAUGUAUGGACCUCUCCAAUUAUACCUUUUUCUGAGUCAAGUUUAUCUUCUACUGCUCCGCUGGAGCUUAUUUUCUCUGAUGUAUGGACAUUUCCAAUUAUCUCUAAUAAAGGAUUUAAAUAUUAUGUCAUCUUAGUUGAUCAUUUUUCCAAGUAUGUUUGCUUUUUUCCUUUACGCCGUAAAGCUGAUGUCUUACAAACCUUCCACAGUUUUAAAUCCAUUGUAAAAAAAUAUUUCUCUGCUAAAAUCAUUACUCUGUA